rnacentral:rRNA from 1 species
AUGCACUCGGGGACCUGUGGUCACCAUGCGUCCUCCCGGAGCAUCGUGACCAAAGCAUACCAAGUAGGAUUCUACUGGCCACGGGCCAAUGAAGCAGCAAAAGAGAUCGUUGAGAAGUGUGAAGGUUGCCAGUUUUACUCAAACAUGUCUCACAAGCCCGUAUCUGCUUUGAAGACUAUUCCACUCGUCUGGCCAUUUGCUGUGUGGGGGUUGGACAUGAUUGGGCCUCUAAGGACCGAAAAAAGUGUCUUCACUCAUUUGCUCGUGGCAGACGACAAAUUCACCAAGUGGAUUGAGACCGAGCCCAUCAAGAACCUAGACUCAAGCAGAGCCGCCAGCUUCAUCAGAGAGUUGAUAUUCCGAUAUGGG